UACGUAGGGGGCAAGCGUUGUCCGGAUUUAUUGGGCGUAAAGAGCGUGUAGGCGGCCAGACAAGUCUGCUGUGAAAACUCGAGGCUCAACCUCGAGCUGUCGGUGGAAACUGUCUGGCUAGAGUCCGGUAGGGGAGUGUGGAAUUCCCGGUGUAGUGGUGAAAUGCGUAGAUAUCGGGAGGAACACCAGUGGCGAAGGCGACUACCUGGCCUGUUCUUGACGCUGAGGCGCGAAAGCUAGGGGAGCAAACGGGG
rnacentral:rRNA from 1 species